CGGUGCAAAUGGUGAGGUACAGACGCGAGGUACAAACAAGGCUUCCGUCCUUGUACAUCGGAGUUAUUGACAACAAAGUUGACGACUAUUCCACACUGUGUUUCAGGUGCUUCCGUGGCCGCGUUUGUGGUGUCUUCACGUUCUGCUCCAGUUCUCGAAAAGGACACACAAGUCUUUGGUGGCCAAAGGAAGUUUGCCUUCCUUCAGAGAUAUGAUCAAUGUUAUUACUUGCAGUACACAACACUGUUGUGUACGCAUCAACUUUGAGGGCAUGACGGAUGCUGCGGUUAAGACGACGGUGAAGAAAUUGCUCUAUUUUGCUGCAGACAGAAACGGUGGACGGUCACGACGGCGAACCCGAAAGGAGACUGCGGAAUAGAAUUCUAUUUCUUAGAACCUA